AUUGAACGCUGGCGGCAGGCCUAACACAUGCAAGUCGAGCGGAUGAAGGGAGCUUGCUCCUGGAUUCAGCGGCGGACGGGUGAGUAAUGCCUAGGAAUCUGCCUGGUAGUGGGGGAUAACGUCCGGAAACGGGCGCUAAUACCGCAUACGUCCUUAGGGAGAAAGUGGGGGAUCUUCGGACCUCACGCUAUCAGAUGAGCCUAGGUCGGAUUAGCUAGUUGGUGGGGUAAAGGCCUACCAAGGCGACGAUCCGUAACUGGUCUGAGAGGAUGAUCAGUCACACUGGAACUGAGACACGGUCCAGACUCCUACGGGAGGCAGCAGUGGGGAAUAUUGGACAAUGGGCGAAAGCCUGAUCCAGCCAUGCCGCGUGUGUGAAGAAGGUCUUCGGAUUGUAAAGCACUUUAAGUUGGGAGGAAGGGCAGUAAGUUAAUACCUUGCUGUUUUGACGUUACCAACAGAAUAAGCACCGGCUAACUUCGU
rnacentral:rRNA from 1 species